AGUGAACGCUGGCGGUAUGCCUAACACAUGCAAGUCGAACGGCAGCACAGUAAGAGCUUGCUCGUACGGGUGGCGAGUGGCGGACGGGUGAGGAAUACAUCGGAAUCUACUUUUGCGUGGGGGAUAACGUAGGGAAACUUACGCUAAUACCGCAUACGACCUACGGGUGAAAGCAGGGGAUCUUCGGACCUUGCGCGAUUGAAUGAGCCGAUGUCGGAUUAGCUAGUUGGCGGGGUAAAGGCCCACCAAGGCGACGAUCCGUAGCUGGUCUGAGAGGAUAAUCAGCCACACUGGAACUGAGACACGGUCCAGACUCCUACGGGAGGCAGCAGUGGGGAAUAUUGGACAAUGGGCGCAAGCCUGAUCCAGCCAUACCGCGUGGGUGAAGAAGGCCUUCGGGUUGUAAAGCCCUUUUGUUGGGAAAGAAAAGCAGCAGGUUAAUACCCCGCUGUUCUGACGGUACCCAAAGAAUAAGCACCGGCUAACUUCGUG
rnacentral:rRNA from 1 species